UACGGAGGGGACUAGCGUUGUUCGGAAUUACUGGGCGUAAAGCGCACGUAGGCGGAUUUGUAAGUCAGGGGUGAAAUCCCGGGGGCUCAACCCCGGGAGGCGGGCGGAUACUGUCGGGCUAGAGUCCGGAAGAGGCGAGUGGAAUUCCUGGUGUAGCGGUGAAAUGCGCAGAUAUCAGGAGGAACACCAAUGGCGAAGGCAGCUCGCUGGGACGGUACUGACGCUGAGGCGCGAAAGCGUGGGGAGCAAACAGG
rnacentral:rRNA from 1 species